rfam:Klebsiella pneumoniae subsp. pneumoniae MGH 78578, complete sequence.
UGAAUUUGUUGCAAAAUAUGCGGCCUGAAAACCAGAGACUAGCCGACGCUUUUUUUUAAAGUGUCGGUUAUUUUUUUGG